UGGGAGAAAUAAAUACAAAAAGGCUGAAGACAUCGGCCUAUUUCAGAUUUUGGGAUUUUUUUGUUUUUUGCCAAGAUUCCUUUUUAUUCCUUUUUCCAACGAAUCAUCAUGCCAUGCAUCACAUCG
rnacentral:ribozyme from 15 species